rnacentral:tRNA from 1 species
GGUCGCUUAGCUCAGUUGGUUAGAGCGUGGUGCUAAUACAUCACGUGGUAUUCAAAUACCAUGUGAUCCCAAACGCCAAGGUCGCGAGUUCGACCCUCGUAGUGACCA